CCUAAAUUUUGAGAAUAUAAAAUACGCCACAAAAGUGUAAACAACAAACAUCUACCAAUUUUUCUGCCUUUUAUUUAGUUUAUUUAUUUAUUGUGCAUUUGUUGUGUUAUUACGAUAAUAAUUAGUUGUUAUUAAUAAAUAAUUGAAAAAAUAAAAUUUAUACAUUGGUAAUUUAUUGGAUCCACCGUUAAGAUCAAGAUUUCAAGCACGAGAUGUAUCCCAUCUUAGUUACCAGCUUGGUGCGAACUUUGGGUGCAGGACGUGGUUUUGUUUGUACAGAUUGCAGUGAAUUGCCACAGAUUUUAAAACAAAUUUUUACAGCAUCUGUUCUACGAUAACGAUAACGAUAGCGAUAACGAUAGAUUUAUUAUUAAAUUCUAGUUCAAUUUAUAAAUAUUUGUUAGAAUAUUAAUUGAAUGGUUCCGUACCUAAUUAUGUAAAUUGUUAUUUUUAUUCAA